UGCACCUGCUGGUGAUUUCAGUAAAUAAAACAGAGAGUUCGUGAUUAAAACAAGUACUAUAAGAUCAAAUAAUAUAUGGUAGUGGUGGUGUUGAUUCAAGGGAGUGAUUCAGUCUCAGAGGAAAAGAGAAUCACAAAGAAUAAACUUAGGGUUUCUGUGAGAUGGAAUUGAAGGAGGAUUUGCGUAUGAAACUGAAGAAUAACGGAUAGGUUUGUUUCUGUGAAGAUUUUAAAAAUAAAUCAAUAAUUAAAUUAAAGUUUGAUAAAGAUCUGAGAAGAAUUAGGGUUAUUUAGAAGAGUCGGGGAGGAUGAAAUUGAGAGUUUAGAGUACUGAUUUGGAGGUAGGUUUGAUGUGAAUUAGGGUUUAGGUUGAAGAAUACUUGAAGAUUUACGGUUAGGGUUUUGAUUGAAUCUGAGAUUGAAGUUUGAAGCUGUAAAUGAGAUCUCGGGUUUCUUGUUGAUGUCCUGAGUUAACUGAAGAAGAAAUUGAAUGCAAUUGCCAGAAUAACACAUAUUUGAGUUGUGGGAAUUGGAAUUGCAGGUUAUGAGUUUUGGGUUUGUGUAUGCUAACAGAACAGUUUUAGUAUGAAUGAGUUGGUGGUGCAAGUGAAGUAAGAUGAAGGUAAGAUCUAGUACUGAAUUUGAGGUUUAGAUGAAUGUUAUUUGUACCAGGGAUGUGAUGUAGCCACAGAUAAUGAUGAUGCAAGAUAAAAAUAAAAAGGUGGUGACAGUUGCGGAUGGUUGAAUUGGUAGUGAUGAUGGGUUGAACAGAAAGGUGAUAAUGGUGGUGUUAUAGGUUCUGUUUGAAGUUAGUUUGAAUGUAACUCUCAAAUGGAGCCUGGUGUUUUGGUUGUUGUUGUGUUUGAAUCUGCAGGUGGAUUAUAGUAAGUAGAUUAAUAUUACAUUUGAGGGUAAAGUUGUAUUGCGAUUGGAUCAAGUGUCAUGGUAUGGAAGAGGGUAUCUAAGGAUGGUGGUGUAGCCUGUGUAGUUUGAAUUUGCAGAUGAGUUAGUAGAUGCUGGAAUCGUGAUAGCGGAUUUGAAGUAGAUGUGGUGAUGUUGUGUAGUAAUGCAAUGUUGUGAAUGAGAUGGGUAUAAGUAUGAACUGUGCAGCUGAAAUGAGAGUGAUGAUGAAGGUGUAGAGCUGAGAUGAGAUGAACUGAGGCAAUUGAUAUUUGUAGGAAUGCGUGUAGAGUUGUUCUUAUUAAAUGGAGCAGCCAGUUGCAAGAAAUAACAAAGUUGUAAUAAGACUCAGGGUUAAGGAUGAACAAGUGAUAUGAGAUGUCUGAAGUGUAAAUAGAACUGAGGUUGCGGUGUAUGGAUGAGAGGAUAGUGCCAAUGAGAUAAUGGAUGAAGCUGCAGUUGGUUUUCGUAAAGUGAAGAAGUUUAGAAUUGGAUUUGAACUGAGGUUAUAAAAGGUUUUGUUAUGGUUGGUUGGGCAGAGAUGGAAUGUAUAUCAAGAUUGUAGGUUGGUUCAGGUGGUUGGUGUUUAGGGGAUUGGUAGAGGUUGCUUAUAGUGGAUAUGUAUUAUAUGUAGGAAGAGUGAAAGCUUGGAACUGCUGAAUUGCAGUUUUCAGAGACAGAUCAGAGUUGCAUAGCGAAAGCCA